rnacentral:lncRNA from 1 species
CCACGUGUUCGGUCUUUUUUGUGUUUCUCCCAUGAAGAAAUAAGCUUGCAAAAUGAGCAAAAUUCUUCCAUCCCUCGUGCAUUUGAAUUGCUCAGGGUGUUAGAUGGUAAACCCAUCCAUUUCACUCGUUUUCCUCCUGAUCUAACUCGACUUGUACAUUUGAGGUAUCUUGUUCUCUCCUGCAACUUCAAAAUACUUCCUGCAGCCCUUUCCAGCCUUUGGAACAUGCAAACUCUUGUAGUUGAGACAUCAUCACGCACCCUUGAAAUCAAAGCAGACGUAUGGAAGAUGAUUCGAAUGAGGCAUCUAAAAACAAACGUAUCCACAACAUUGAAAGGCCCUCUCGCUAAAUCAAGGAAAAGUAAAGAAGAUUCUCGGAACUUCCAAACACUUUCUACAAUAUCACCUGAAAGUUGUACAGAAGGUGUAUUUGCUGCUGCUCCAUGCCUAAGAAAAUUGGGCAUCCGGGGCAAAUUAGCUAAACUGUUGCAUAUCAAGCAUAAUGGAUCUAGUUUGUUCGAUUGUCUGGGAAAAUUGGAUUACCUCGAAAAUUUGAAGCUAUGGAAUGAUGUAUCUCCUCAACCACCUUCUGAAGGAAAAAUAAGCAGCCUUCCCCAAAACUACAAAUUCCCAUCGAACCUGAAGAAGCUAACAAUAGUAGAGACCAGGCUUGAUUGGAAGCAUAUGUCUACUUUGGGACUGUUGGAAGGCCUUGAGAUCCUGAAGUUGAAAGACAAUGCAUUCAUAGGAGACUUGUGGAAGUCCCAGGAUGGAGGUUUCCGUUCUCUGAUAGUCUUGCAUAUUGGAAGGACAGAUUUAGUUUAUUGGAAGGCUUCUGCUGUUCAUUUCCCACGGCUCAAGUGCCUUCAUCUUAAUCACUGCAGAAAGCUUGAUGAAGUCCCAUUCGAGCUGGCUAAUGUUCCAAGCUUCCAGAAAUUGGACUUGAAAUUUACCACGAGAGCAGCAGCUGUUUCUGCAAAAACUAUUUCGGAGCAUAAAAGGCAGCCUGGUGGUAGUGGAUUUGAGCUUUCGAUUUACCCUCCGGAUCAUUAUCAAUGAUCUCCAUUUGUUCAAGGCUCAAAAAUUCUACUUCAGAGGUAAUACAUUUAAAUCCUUGUUCUCUUUACUUGAUAUGUCUUUUCCUACUGAAAAUUUUGUUGGAAUUUGGUUAAGUAAAACAAAGAAAAGUUGAUUGCGUAUCAAUUUCGGCCAAAUAUCUGGACAUGUUCCGAUAGUCAAAUCACGCAACUGAAUACACUAACUUGUUCUACUCAUCGAGUCGAUGAUCGUAGUAUAUUUGGAAUCUCAAAACCAGUUUUGGAUGAAUAAGAAAUUGUUGUCCAAAGUUAGAAGAAAAACGGAAAUUCUAUACAUAAUAUCACCGCUCGAGCGGCAGCCUCACCUCGGGAUUUGGAUUUUCAUUUAUUUCAUAACGUUUGUUACCAACCUUUUGUUAAUUCCAAGCAAGCUUUACUUUAUUUAUUUCUUGUUUAAGAUUCAAUUUUGAUUAUCAAAAAGCGCACACACACACAUACACCAACAAACUUAAGAAACAUAUAUUUCAUGGGAAGAUCCAGGUUAGAAUUAUUCUUCCCGAAUAGUAGCACCCAGACAAGAUUGUUUUUUCUCCUCAAUCUAUUUCUUAAAAUACUUUGUGGAUAGAUGCUCUUUCCGCUAAUCCAUGAUCUGAAUCACAAAAACCUGAAAGAUAUGAAAUGGAAGUUCAAUCAAACAUGUAAAAAUUUAAUGAUAUGAUCAGCUUAAGGACUUGUAUAUUUGUGCAGGCAGAUAAUCAAAUGAACAAUGAUGUCUUGAAUGUUGAAGAAAGGAAGUUUAGAUGCAUGGAGCCAAUGUUUCUGUUCCCUGUGUUUUUACAUUUCGUUCAAUAAAAGGUUGCACCUUAUUUAAGUGUAUGUUGAACUUCAGAAUAUUUGUAUUUCUUUUUAUUCAGUGUGUUGUACUGCUGUAAUAAUUUUACCUUGCUUUAGUUUUUGAAUAUGGAAUUACUGCUGCCUUCAUUUUACUUACUUAUAAUUCUUCUUCUUGACAAAGUGGGCAAUUUUGAAGAGGCAAAUAGAAAACUGCAUGGUCUUGCACUCUUACUUUUUUGGACCUAAUGUAAUUUGCGUUUGCUUGAUGAGUAUGGUAUUUCUACUCGGAGCAGGUUUUGCCAAGUAAAUUAAACUUACGUAAUAUUUUAUUCUCGUACAUAUAUAUAUAUGGAGAGACUUAUUCUCUUUGACCGACUGGUUGUAAUAUUUCAGGAGUUCAGAAAUUGGAAGCUAAUGGAAGGAGAGACUUAUGAGUUAUGGGUAUACAAUUAGGAGUGAGUUAUAGAAAUUUCAACUACAAAUUGAGAUCUAUUGUGAAGUUUGGUAUAGUUGCAAUAUAACUCCAAAUCCUUCAUUGUCUUUAAAUUGGGUUUGGGUUUGGGUUUUUACAUCUUAUCCAUAAUUGUGUUAAAUACAUUGAUGAAUAUAUUCAUUCCUAUGUGUUUCAUCAAUUUAUUGUUUCUUACAAGCUCUAUCUAUUAUCAUUUUGGGAAGUUUCUCAGCCAUACUUACCAACUUAUCAGUAGUUACCCAUACUUACCAAGCCGUGCCAUAUGAUUGCGUGGCAAUCAAAAGAUGGUGUGUUUUUUAAGUCUGAAUGAUUUGGUUUGAGCCACACUCAUGAACAAAAAUUGGACCAAACAUAUGAUAUUGAGACGUCAUAUCCCAAAAUUCAUUGGUUGGAAGUUAUUAACAGAUCCAUCAUUUUUUUUUUCCGAGUCAUAUUAUCCUGAUCAGCAUCGUCCUACAAUAUAGGAAUUCGGACAUGGAGACCAUCAUACAUUACUAGUCAUCUAAUAUUCUAUGCAGAAUAUGAAGGGAAGCUUGAGAAUUUUUUAAAAUAUUGGAUUGUUGGAAGGGUUUACAUGAUGACCCCAAAUUCGGACAUAUUUUUUUUCAUAAAACGGAGUAUAAAACAUUCUGUCUUCAGGGAAAAGUUGUGGUAUCUUGACGUGUAAUAAAUGAUGUUACCGAUGGCUUGAUUUUGUAAACAGGGAAGGUUAGUUUCUGUUUAACAAAACGUUUGAAGACUUGUUUUAUGCAAAUGUUAAUUACUGUGAACAAGAUUGACACAUUACAUAAUUAGAGUUGUCAUCCUUACUUUGGCUUAACAUUUUAAACAAGUAAAGAUUUGAAAUUGGAUUAAUCUUUGUAAAAGGAAUGUAAUGUACAAGUCCCGUUUUCAUUGAGAAGUAUUGUACCCCUAUUAUGAAACACGACUUCCCGCCGGUCCACAAUAUAAAAGCACAAAAAACAUAAAGUUUUCAUACUACAGGCUUGUAUAUAUUAAUAAUCACAAUAAGCUUAAGCAGGUACAUAGAAGACGAUCAUUUUCCAAAAACAUAACUCAAGCAUGUCAUUUCUUAGUACAAAAAGAUGAUCAAACCAGUCCCUCAUAAGUUGCGAUCAAAAGAGGAGUCUAGAUUAAAACCAUAACACAUUCGGGGUGAUUAAAAACUUACUUUGAAAACCCAUUUUUUAGUGCAAAGUUUUGAAAACCCAUUCCCUCAGCCUUGUUUCUUUAAGACUUUAACAUCCCGUCCCAUGCUUUUACAGGCAUGCUGAUAAUGUAUUUUAAGCGAGUGCACUAAGUACUCCAUCCUCUUAUAAAGUUGGGUAACAAUAAUGAACUAGUUUUGCAAUCUUUUUUCCAUAAAUCAGAUUCUGAAGCAGUAGGUGACUAUCUAAUUUGCAUAGAAUGUUUUGGAAUUGUUCCGAGACUCAGAGCCUUCUAUAUAAUUUGUGAACUGUUCAUUAGGUUUUAAACUUUUUGCAUUCAUUGCUUGAGCCUUCUAGUACAAUCUAGCACCGCAGUCAACCUUGUCCUAUAACUUUUUUGUUGAAGCAAAGGAAGAUGAAUAAUUGUUGUUGUCGUUGGCAACCCAAGAAGAAAAGGAUAAACAAUCGUGGUACAUUGACACCGGUGCCGCCAAUCACAUGAGUGGCAACAAGGAGUUAUUCUCCACAAUAAAUGAGUUGGUAAAAGGAAAUAUUAUUUUUGGAGAUGAAGCUAAAAUUCCAAUAAAAGGUAAAGGUGAUGUUCUUAUUCGUGCUAAAAAUCGAAGUCAUCUUUUGAUUUCUUAAGUUUAUUAUUUACUUGCUUUGAAGUCUAAUAUUUUGAGUGUGGGACAAUUACUUGAGAAUGGCUACGACAUUAACUUGAAGAAUCGUUGCCUUACUUUGAGAGAUGUUUCUCAUAAACUGAUUGCAAAGGUGCCAAUGAAGAAAAAUAGAAUGUUUUUACUCAAUGUUAAUGUUGACUAUCCAAGUUAUCUAAAAGCUUGUGUUGAAGACAAUUCUUGGCUUUGGUACUUAAGAUUUGGUCAUUUGAUUUUUGGUGGCUUGAAGACCUUGACGAAUGAAGAAAUGGUGAAUGGGUUGCCAAAAAUUAAUCAUCCCAAUCAACUUUGUGAAGGAUAUGCCUCGUUGGCAAGCAAACUAGAAGAAGUUUUCCAAAGGAAUCCACCUCAAGAGCAACAAAGCCACUCCAACUUGUUCAUGCGAGGGCCAAUCAAACCACCCUCUCAUGGCAAAACAAAUUAUUUCUUAUUAUUUAUUGAUGAUUUUUCUCGCAAGACCUGGGUUUAUUUUUUGAAGACGAAAGAUGAAGUUUUUGGAGCAUUCAAAAAAUUCAAAGCCCUUGUUGAAGUUUUUGGAGUAGUAAGAAACCUAGUGUUUAUCAUUUACAUGUUUUUGAUAGUAUUGCCUCUCUUCUUGAAGGGCAAAAAGCAAUUGCGCGUGAAAUGGGUGUACAAAGUACAGAAAAGUACUUGAGGAGAAGUACAAGGCAAGAUUUGUUGCCAAAGGCUAUAGCCAAAAGCAUGUCAUUGACUAUGAUGAGGUCUUUGCCCUCAUUGCUCGCUUGGAAACCAUUCGAUUAAUCAUUUUCUUGGCAGCUCAAAAUAAGUGGAAAAUUUGUCAAAUGGAUGUCAAGUCCGCUUUCUUGAACGGAUACCUUGAAAAAGAAGUGUACGUUCAACAAUCAUUGGGUUAUGUUGUCAAGGAACAUGAAGAUAAAAUUUUGAAGUUGAAGAAGACGCUAUAUGGCUUGAAGCAAAAGCCUAGAGCAUGGUAUAGUCGGAUUGACAAGUAUUUUCAAUAUCAUGGAUUCAUCAAAUGUUCACAUGAGUAUGCUUUUUACGUUAAAAAGGAUGCAUUUGGAGGUUUUAUGAUUGUGUGCUUGUACGUUGAUGACUUGAUCUUCACCGACAACAAUGAAAACAUGUUUGAUGAAUUUGAGAGAAUGAUGGCUCAAGAAUUUGAGAUGAUUGACAUUGGGCUCAUGUCAUACUACCUCGAAAUUGAGGUAAAACAAAUGACAUUUUUAUUUUUCAAGAAGCUUAUGCAAAGAAAGUUCUUGAAAGAUUCAAAAUGAAAAAUUGCAAUCCUGUGAGUACUCUCAUUAGGUGUGGAACAAAAAUGUCAAAAUAUGACGAGAGCACGAAAGUGGAUCCAUAGACAGCUUGUUGGAAUCUUGAGAUAUUUGAUACAAGACCCGAUAUUCUUUAUGGUGUUGGUCUUGUUAGCCGUUAUAUGGAGACACCAACUUUAACUCACUUGGAGAUUGCUAAAAGAAUACUUCGAUGUAGGUUCCCUUGAUUAUGGCUUAGCUUAUUCAUCUUCUACAAAUUUCAAGCUUCAUGGUUAUAGUGAUAGUGAUUGGGCUAGUGAUAUUAAUGAUCGAAAAAGCACCACUGAAUUUUUGUUUUUCAUGGGUAACACCGCUUUCACUUGGUGUUCAAAGAAGCAACCCAUUGUGACCUUUUCUACUUGUAAAGCUGAAUAUGUUUUCGCUGCAUUGUGUGUUUGUCAUGCCAUUUGACUACGGAAAUUAUUGGAGAUGCUUUAUAUGCCUCAAAAAGAAGCUACACCAAUUUAUGUUGAUAACAAGUCAGCUAUUGCUUUAGGUAAAAAUCCUAUGUUCCAUGAUCGAAGCAAGCAUAUAGAUACGAGAUUUCACUUCAUUAUAAAGUGCAAUGAGAACAAAAAAGCUGGGCUUACUUAUGUGAAGACCAAUGAUCAGGUAGCAGACAUUUUCACCAAAUCAUUGAAGAAUGAUGAUUUUACAAGAUUGCGUACUUGGAUUGGAGUUAUCAAGAGGGAAUCAAGUUUAAGAAGGGGUGUUGGAAAUUAAACUUAAUCCAUGAAUGAUGAAAAAAAAAAUUUUUUGAUGCAUGAAUUAAUUUAUUUAAUAUUCAUGCAUUUAUUUAAAUCAUGUAUCCAAAUGGUUCUUUGUAUCCUAUUAUUCAUAGUAUGUAGGAAAAGUCAUUAAUUAGUCUCUUAAAUUCAUACAGUGUAUUUGGAAUCCUUUGUAUCUAUAAAAGGUCUUGAAACAAAAUCAAAAUCAACUUAUAUAAAUAAGACAGAUGAAGUAAUUUAUUUAUUUUUAAUGGAAGCAGAUAUCUUCCAUAAACUAUACUUCACAACUCAUUUAUUUUUCUUAUUCUUUUUUUUUUUAUUUUUCUACCUUUCUGACUUAUAUGGUUAAGUAAAAAAAAAAAAUUGUGCAGUUACAAGUAAUUUGGAUUGAAACAUUGGUUUUGAACAAACUUAAUUACAAGUAAUUUUGAUCGAUAAGAAACAAAUUUGAAAUAGCCCAUAAACUGUCUUCAUUAGUUACUGUUUGGGUGACAAAAUGCACCUCUAAUUGGAUUGUUUGGUAGGUGAACCGUGACUAUUCCCCAAACGUGCUUGGAAGUCAACGAGUCUCCGUUUGGUAGGUGGUAAUUAAAGAAGAAAGGGAUUAUAGAUUGACUUGGGUAGACCAAUAAAUGAGCCAAAAGUUAAGAUCAAAUUCAUCAAAGUUACAUAGAAAAAAAAAAAUUCUCCCAGUUUCAGUUUUCAUGAAUAUAAAUUUACCAUAUAUAGGCGAAUUUUUGGUACCGAAGAAUUAAUUUAAGAAGAAAUGGCUGAAGAAGCUGCCAUGAGAUUUCUGCUAGAAAACUUGAAGCAGCUACUUCUUUACAAUGCACAUCUGAUUCUUGGCGUUAGGAGUGACGUCGAAUCUCUGGACAAGAAUCUGCGAUUGUUCCAUGCCAUUCUCAAAGACAUGGCAAAAGGGAACAAUCAUCAUUACGUCCUAAAUGAACUGGUGGUGCAAAUCAGAGACAUCGUGUAUGAUGCAGAAGAUUGUGUGGACGAGUAUGUUUCUCAUUCAGCUAUGCAAGAGGCCCGAAAUAACUUUAGUAAACUUAUCCAUAUAUGCAACUACACGGCAAAGCUUCGAAAUAUGGCAGUGAAGAUUAAGUCUGUGAGGGGCAAGGUCGACGAUAUGUAUCAAAAGAAUAUGCCUGUGUCUGAAGCCCUGCUAGUUGCUGCUCCUGAUAUCAAAAAGAAAGAGGUAAAAUACCUUUACUCUGAUUAGUGGUUUUAAAGCUUUGUUAAUUGAUUAGCUUAGCUGAUUGUGUUUACAAUUUAUCAGUUCCGGGCAUGUUUGGCUAAGCAUAAUAAAAACUUGGUAAUACGUUUAGAAAAAAGUUCAAUAACAACAAAAAUGAAGUUGGCCUUCUUACUUCAUUUCUCCUUUGCUGUUUCAAGACUUAAUUCAUUUUAAUACUAAUUUCAAAAAAUGUAAUUUGGAGCCCGUGAGAGCUUAUGCUUCUUAUAAAAGAGGUUCACGAGGAAACUACUUUAUACCAAUUUCUUCUUAAAACUUCUUUAACCAGGCAAAGCAAUUUCAAAAAAUUAUCUAAACAUAUUUUAAAGUAGUCUUUUAGAGCAUUUUCAAAAGACUUUGUAUGUAUAAAGAGCGUCUAAUGCUUUAUAGAGAACAUUUUCAAAUUUAAAGAGACAAUUUUUAUGCACUCCAGCAAUGCUCUCUCUAUUUUGGCUAUUUAUUUCACCGUUCUCAAGAAACAUUUACUGAUUUUUUCUCAAAUUUUAUUUAAUAUAAUUUUUUAUAUGUUAAUGGUCAAUCAAUUUAAAUGUGUUUGAACAUUUUAAAAAGCAAGGUAUUAAAAUUUGUGAUUUAUUAAACUUAAUCAUUGUACAUUAAGAAUAGAGAGCAUGUUUGACCCUCUAAAUUUAGAGAGCUAAACUCACUUUUUAUUUUAAAAAGUUAAAAUAAAGUCUCUUUGGAACAAAUUUUUAAGCAUUAGCUUUAAAAUAAAGAGUAUUAGAAGUAGUUUUUAUUUUUAAAAAAGUGUCCCAAACAAGUCUUUAUUUUCUAAUGAAGUUUGUACCAAACUAAUUUUAUUACUAUCUUGAACACCUUGUAGUCUCCAUUUUAUAUCAGUACUAGAACGAUUAUUGUUCACAUAUAUUAAAGGCUCCCAUUGCACCCCAACUGAUUACUGUUCACUAUAUUAAAGGCUCCCACCGUGGAAGACAACGUGGUGGGCUUUGCAGAUGAUGCCAAAAAGGUAACCAAACUUCUCAUUGAAGGACCUGAGGAACUACAAGUUAUAUCAAUAGUUGGUAUGGCCGGUCUUGGUAAGACAACGCUGGCUAAAAUGAUAUAUAGCGAUCCUGAUGUUAAAUCUGAAUUCUACAAUCGAGCAUGGGUUUCUGUUUCUUAAAACUAUAGUAAAAAGGAAGUGCUUCAAGAUAUUCUAAGACAAUUUUCUAAGCGUAUCAAAGCUGACAUUAACGAAGUCCAAUUUUCUAGGCCUAACGAAUCUGACAUGAAUGAAGACGAAUUAGAUGACAAACUUCGUAAUUGUUUGGAGGGAAAAAAAUAUUUAAUUGUCAUGGACGAUGUGUGGACAGAGAAGGCUUGGGACAAAUUAAAAACUGCUUUUCCUAGAAACAAGAAGAGUAGAAUUUUAAUAACUACUUGUGAUGAGAAAGUGGCUAAGCAUGCGAACCCCAACAUAGAUCCUCAUAAGUUGCAAUUUCUAACUUUUGAAGAAAGUAGGAUUUUACUUCGAAGGAAGGCACUUGGAUCUAUGAAGUGCCCCGACGAGUUGAGAGACCACGAAUUUCGUAUUGCCCAAAAAUGUAAAGGACUCCCACUGGCAAUAGUGGUGAUUGGGGGAAUUCUGCUAGGAAAAGGUAAGGAAAGUGAAUCGUGGAAGAGAGUUGCUGAAAGUGUGGAGGCAUUUAUAAACAUGGACGAGGAGAACAAGAUGCACAAUAUUGUAGAAAUGAGUUUUGACAUUUUACCUUAUCAUUUGAAAAUGUGUUUUCUCUACUUUGGGAUAUUUCCUGAAGACUUCCAAAUUUCGGUGUGGAAACUGCUUCGCCUUUGGAUCGCGGAAGGAUUCAUACGGCCAAUUGAAGGAACGAAGAUGAGUUUGGAGGAUAUUGCUGAAGAGUACUUGGAGGGUUUCAUCAGCAGGAAUUUAGUCAUGGUUGGGGAGAAGAGGUCAAAUGGCAAAGUCAAAACAUGUCAUAUUCAUGACAUGCUACAUGUGUUUUGCAAGAAACGAGCUGCAGAAGAAAGAUUAUUUGUUGAAAUUGCAGAGCUUAACCAAGGUACUUAUUCACCUUCCAACCCUGACUCUAAAAAGUGUCGUCGCCUUUCCAUCAAUUCCGGAAUUUCGAACUAUAUCUCUUCAAAACCAACCGGUCCACAUGUUCGGUCUUUUUUAUGUUUCACCCAUGAAGAAAUAACCUUGCAAAAUGAGGAAAAAAUUCUUCCAUCCCUGGUGCAUUUAAAUUGCUCAGGGUGUUAGAAGGUAAACCCAUCCAUUUCACUCGUUUUCCUGUUGACCUAACUCAACUUGUACAUUUGAGGUAUCUUGUUCUCUCCUGCAACUUCAAAACACUACCUGCAGCCCUUUCCAGCCUUUGGAACAUGCAAACUCUUGUAGUUGAGACAUCAUCACGCACCCUUGAAAUCAAAGCAGAUGUAUGGAAGAUGAUUCAAAUGAGGCAUCUAAAAACAAAC